AUGUGACUUCUGCCAACACAAUAACUCUUGUUUUGAGGGCACUGUAGAGACCAGUAUGCGACACAGGACAAGGCAGCCCAAAAAAGAAGUCUUGACAUAUACACGUUUUCCCCUCCUUUUUACGGUAUGACUCAACAGCCCUCCAGGGGGCCGAGGGAGAAGGGGCGUGAGCCUCAUUGGCCAAUCAGAAUAACACAUCGAAGCUUAUGGGCCAAUCCGAUGGACGGUCUUGUUGCAGCCGUCUUGGGCCAGGGGGCUGAAGAGCCAAUGAGAGAGCCGGAGCAGGACACGUGCGCGGAGCAGCGGAAGGGCUGCGGUUUGGUGCGUCAGGUGUCUCGAGCGUCCCGGCCUGACUGCUUGGGCUGCCCUUGGUCAGAUGGCAUCAGGUUCUUUGACCCCGCGGGUCCACACCGCGGCCAGCCCCUUGCCUCCACGCGGAGACUGCAGCCCCUGGGAUGAGCCUGCAAACCCUGCCUCCAGCCUCCUCCUGGUCACACCCUUUAAGACACUUCGGGGGAAUUUAAAGAGCAGGAAGCGAGAAAAGGAAGCUACAUUAAGCGCAAGUCUUAAAGAUGGUAGAAAUAGAUUGGAAUUGGUGGCUCUAUUAAAAAAAGUUUAAGUUUAUUGA